rnacentral:rRNA from 1 species
GACGAACGCUGGCGGCGUGCUUAACACAUGCCAGUCGAACGGAAAGGCCCUGCUUUUGUGGGGUGCUCGAGUGGCGAACGGGUGAGUAACACGUGAGUAACCUGCCCUUGACUUUGGGAUAACUUCAGGAAACUGGGGCUAAUACCGGAUAGGAGCUCCUGCUGCAUGGUGGGGGUUGGAAAGUUUCGGCGGUUGGGGAUGGACUCGCGGCUUAUCAGCUUGUUGGUGGGGUAGUGGCUUACCAAGGCUUUGACGGGUAGCCGGCCUGAGAGGGUGACCGGCCACAUUGGGACUGAGAUACGGCCCAGACUCGUACGGGAGGCAGCAGUGGGGAAUAUUGCACAAUGGGCGGAGGCCUGAUGCAGCAACGCCGCGUGCGGGAUGACGGCCUUCGGGUUGUAAACCGCUUUCGCCUGUGACGAAGCGUGAGUGACGGUAAUGGGUAAAGAAGCACCGGCUAACUACGUG